CACGGGAGGCGGGGUUCUACGCCCCGCCCACAGGCGAAGCUGGAGUCGGGCCGCCCCUCACGGCUCCGCAGCUGGGUGGGCUCCGAGCCCGGGCCGGGCACAUCUGGAGGAUCCCAGCUGAAACAAGGGGCGCCUUCCGCAUCCCGACCAUAUCUGGAAGGCCCCCGACUCCAGCCAGGCGAUUCCAGCCGCGUCUGGGCCUAUCCCGCACUCGCUGCCUCACAUCUGGGUGCUUGUAUGUUCCUACCCCGGGCACAUCUGGAUGAGCCCCCAGUUCCCAUCCCAGCCACAUGUGGGCUACUCAACUUCAGUCCUCCGCCAUCCCCUGGCCACAUCUGGGCGGUUCCUCCCUCAUUCUGACCCUGCAACCCCUGCACCCUCCUCCCCCAGCUCCCCCCCUCCUCUCUUCAACAUUUGGGCUGCUGCGCCCUUAAACCAUAGUUUAAUAUGAAAUAUAACAAAAAAAAUGAAGAAAUAGAAUGAAAUCUACUUUAUUCCUUUUUGCAGGCAAAUCCUGCCCCGUAUUCCUGCUCUGAACCUUUGUCGCCGACCACAAGAAGGUCCCUGAGUUUUACGUGGGCCACAAUGAAAUUAUGACCAUCCUGGGUUUCUGCGCCUCAGCACUCCCAAGAAAUUGUGAAUGACGGAGCCAUGGGGGUGUCAAAAGCCAGCGAGGUGAAGAGCAGCAGCAGGAAGCGAAAGAAUGAGUUGGAAAACGAGCAGGACAAGCCAAAGGAGCUGGAAUGCACAGAGAAGCCUUCCACGGUAAAAGGGAAGAAGAAAGAAAAAUCAAAAGCCAAGGAAAAGCCACUGCAGGAGAACAUCAUCAGCAGCUCCCUGGAGCAGGAGGCUGUGGAUGGGAUCAGCCUUGGCUCGAGCCUCUGGAAUGGGAUCCAAGCUGAGGAGGGAGCUGCACCUGGGUCGGAGGAGACCAAAGCAACCUCCCCUCAAGGGCCAGCAGUGGGGCUGGAAGGCCCUUCCAGGUGAGUUGGGUAAUUUUUUUGAUUAUUUUUCUUCCAGGGAACUGGAAUUUUGUCCUUUUUUUUCCCUUCUCCCUGUGGAGCUGCACAAUCCUGGUUUUCCCUCCUGGAUCGCUGGUGCCUUCCUGGAGCAUCUUCUCCACAUCCUGGUGUUUUCAGUGACUUUAAAGCUUUC
rnacentral:lncRNA from 1 species